rnacentral:rRNA from 1 species
GAUGAACGCUGGCGGCGUGCCUAAUACAUGCAAGUCGAGCGAACGGACGAGAAGCUUGCUUCUCUGAUGUUAGCGGCGGACGGGUGAGUAACACGUGGAUAACCUACCUAUAAGACUGGGAUAACUUCGGGAAACCGGAGCUAAUACCGGAUAAUAUUUUGAACCGCAUGGUUCAAAAGUGAAAGACGGUCUUGCUGUCACUUAUAGAUGGAUCCGCGCUGCAUUAGCUAGUUGGUAAGGUAACGGCUUACCAAGGCAACGAUGCAUAGCCGACCUGAGAGGGUGAUCGCCACACUGGAACUGAGACACGGUCCAGACUCCUACGGGAGGCAGCAGUAGGGAAUCUUCCGCAAUGGGCGAAAGCCUGACGGAGCAACGCCGCGUGAGUGAUGAAGGUCUUCGGAUCGUAAAACUCUGUUAUUAGGGAAGAACAUAUGUGUAAGUAACUGUGCACAUCUUGACGGUACCUAAUCAGAAAGCCACGGCUAACUACGUG